rnacentral:rRNA from 1 species
UAGGGAAUCUUCCACAAUGGACGCAAGCCUGAUGGAGCAACACCGCGUGAGUGAAGAAGGGUUUCGGCUCGUAAAGCUCUGUUGUUAAAGAAGAACACGUAUGAGAGUAACUGUUCAUACGUUGACGGUAUUUAACCAGAAAGUCACGGCUAACUACGUGCUAG